rnacentral:rRNA from 1 species
UACAGAGGGUGCGAGCGUUGUUCGGAAUUAUUGGGCGUAAAGGGCGCGUAAGCGGUGCGGUAAGUCACCUGUGAAAUCUCCUGGCUCAACUGGGAGCUUGCAGGCGAAACUGCCGUGCUGGAGUGUGGGAGAGGUGCGUGGAAUUCCUGGUGUAGCGGUGAAAUGCGUAGAUAUCAGGAGGAACACCUGUGGCGAAAGCGGCGCACUGGACCACAACUGACGCUGAGGCGCGAAAGCUAGGGGAGCAAACAGG